GACUUUUGGGGAGCUUCAAGAGGGGAUUUUCAUCAUCAAUGUGAAGGUAAGUUAUCCCCACCUAUUUUGAGUUAAGUACAUCAAUUAUGUAUGGAUUUGAGCAUGAAAAUUGUAGAAAAAUUGAGAAUUUAGGCCUAGGGAUUUGAAAAUAAGAUUUGGUGAUUUGAGGGGUCAAAUGAACUCCUAUUUUGGUAAAUUUUAUAUGUACGGACUCGUGGUGAGACGAGGAAUCCGGUGAUGUGACUUUCGUAAUUUUUCGAGAAGUGGGCCCGGGGCUCGGGUUUUGCAAAUUUCAUGAUUUUCGAUAUUUUUCAAGUUUUUUUGAUUGGGUUAUAUUCCCUUAGCCUAUUGUAAUAUAUUCCUUGUGGUUUUGGCAAGAUUCGACGCACGAGGAGGUCGAUUCGAAAGGAAAGGGCAUCGCGGAGUAGACUUUUGGCCAUCUUGAGGUGAGUAAUAGAUGUAAAUGCUGUUCUGAGGGUUUGAAACCCCAGACUUUCACAUCGUAACGCUAUAUUGAGGCGUGACAUGCACUCCAUGGCGAGUGCGGGGUCGGAUACUAUUUGGGAUUGUGACUUGGUCCAUCCCGUGUGAUGUUUAUAUUAUACUUGUGAUUGAUACACAUACUUCAUUGAUAUUACUGGGCUUGAUGCCAUGUUAGGGGCCUUGUGCCGAUUUGUAAAAUCCUUCUAGGAUUGAUAUUACUGCUUAACAUGAUUUGCAUAUCAUUUAAUUUCAGUCCAAGGUUUUAAAUGCUGUUUUGCAAACUCAGCCAUAAUUCUAAGUGUUGAAAACUUAGAUGAUAUUUUUAAAUGUAUUCCGGGC
rnacentral:lncRNA from 1 species